UGGUGCUGCCCAGCAUUCAGCUUCAGAGCAAUGGGGUGUUUCUGCAAGCACUUCAGCCUCAAUGUCUGCCUGGCCUGGCUCAUCAAUGAGCUCUGGGCAGGGUUUGAGCAUGGAGCUGUGGGUGCUUGGAUGAGCUGUGAGGCACAACCUAAGCAAGCUGAUAGCAAAGAGCAUCGUGAGGAGCAAACCCAAAUCUCCCCUUGGGCCCUGAAAUCCUGGGGAGCUUUGGCUCAGAUUGCUGUGCAUUGCUGUGCAGAUGGGAAUCCGGGCUACGUGAACAAAGGUACCCACCUGUAUGCAGUGCAAUGAGCCAGAGCUGCUCUGCUGGGUAGGAAAUAUCCCUCACUCUGCAGCAAUGAACAGGAGGAAGAAAUCUUUGCAACUCACCCCAUCCCUAAAACCUGCCACGAAUGAGGAGAAACUGUAAAAUUCCACGUAGAGCCUUUUAUUUUUUCUGUAAUGUAUCAGUUUACGUUUCUAAUGUUGGUAUCAUCCAGCACUUUAAAUCAAAUUAUAACUGUAUCAGACUGCUUAACAAUGUUUCUUUUUAAUUAAGUUUACCAGUC
rnacentral:lncRNA from 1 species